rnacentral:rRNA from 1 species
AGCGAACGCUGGCGGCAGGCCUAACACAUGCAAGUCGAACGAGCCUUCGGGCUAGUGGCGGACGGGUGAGUAACACGUGGGAACGUACCUUUAGGUUCGGAAUAACUCAGGGAAACUUGAGCUAAUACCGGACGUGCCCUUCGGGGGAAAGAUUUAUCGCCUUUAGAACGGCCCGCGUUAGAUUAGCUAGUUGGUGGGGUAAUGGCCCACCAAGGCUACGAUCUAUAGCUGGUCUGAGAGGAUGAUCAGCCACACUGGGACUGAGACACGGCCCAGACUCCUACGGGAGGCAGCAGUGGGGAAUCUUGCGCAAUGGGCGAAGGCCUGACGCAGCCAUGCCGCGUGAAUGAUGAAGGUCUUAGGAUUGUAAAAUUCUUUUAGCAGGGACGAUAAUGACGGUACCUGCAGAAAAAGCCCCGGCUAACUUCGUGCCAGCAGCCGCUGUAA